UGGAAAAACAAAGACAAGGAUGGGGAGUGUGGAGCGUAGGGAGCAGAGUUUCCCCUUUCUCUCUCGCCCAAAACAACAAAUGGGGUGCACUCUGAUAGUACUGGAAACACUGGGGCCAGGUGUUCCCAAUUAACAACAACCUGACCACACCUACUGGGCAUCUGCAACACAAAACACAAAGACAAGCAGUCAGCCCAACAGCCAAAAGAGGCUUCACACAAAGGAGACCAAAGGAAGCAAAGGCCAACCACUGUGAAAAGCAACACCUCCUGUCCAAAGCAUUGACGUAAAGAAAGACCAAUGAAACAGAGUGCAUUUGCAAAUCAAAUGUACAUAUCCUGCAAAAGUCACAGAGUUAUCUUUGAAGAGUGGGAUAUUGUUAGCUUUGUAAACCGUGAUGGAUUCCAGUAAUCCCCUUCCUUCAAACCACCUGUCACUUCAUCUUCUACAUUCAGUGUAUGCAUGUGAGCAUUUGUGUGACUCGAGUGUGGCACAAAUAAAAACGAAUGGCUUA